CCAAUCUGGAGGAUGUUUAUUGUCAAGAUACGGGGAAAUCAUUAAUGCCGAUACACUUGAGGGCCAGAGCGGCAUAUGGUACUUUUCGUGAACAAUAUAGGGGUGAUGAGAGGAAUCGGGAUAAGAUCACGGCAAAUCUCGAGUUAGUGGAGGGAUUUGAGACUGCAUCCAAGGAGGCUGC